UACGAAGGGGGCUAGCGUUGCUCGGAAUCACUGGGCGUAAAGCGCACGUAGGCGGAUCUUUAAGUCAGGGGUGAAAUCCUGGAGCUCAACUCCAGAACUGCCUUUGAUACUGGGGAUCUCGAGUCCGGGAGAGGUGAGUGGAACUCCGAGUGUAGAGGUGAAAUUCGUAGAUAUUCGGAAGAACACCAGUGGCGAAGGCGGCUCACUGGCCCGGUACUGACGCUGAGGUGCGAAAGCGU
rnacentral:rRNA from 1 species